rnacentral:rRNA from 1 species
UACGUAGGGUGCAAGCGUUGUCCGGAAUUAUUGGGCGUAAAGAGCUCGUAGGCGGUUUGUCGCGUCUGCUGUGAAAAUCCAGGGCUUAACCCUGGACCUGCAGUGGGUACGGGCAGACUGGAGUGCGGUAGGGGAGAUCGGAAUUCCUGGUGUAGCGGUGGAAUGCGCAGAUAUCAGGAGGAACACCGGUGGCGAAGGCGGUUCUCUGGGCAUUACCUGACGCUGAGGAGCGAAAGCAUGGGGAGCGAACAGG